CCUCCAGUGUGGUGUGAAGAAACCUUUCGCUGCUCAACACAUUAUGCACCAUGGUUUGAGGGCGUGCUGGGAGAGGAGUUAUGGGUGAGUGGCUCCUGCCCCACUGCACAUACCCAGGGAAGACAGGACUUCGCUUCCUGAUCUCUGUUUGCUCAGCACCUGGCUCAGAAUGAGAGUCCCUCAUGAGUGACAUUUAAAACCUGAGGAAGAGGGAAUCUUGAUUAAAGAAGGAGAGAAAGCUGCAAGCCAGAGAGAUGCCUUGGCUAUUCCACCAGAACAAGAAUCGAUAUCCAAGGUCUUAACAAUCCAGGGACAAAGGACAUGCUGAGGCUGAUGAGACCCUGAAUGCUUGUCACACACACUUAAGCAGCAUUGUGAGGAUUAAUGAACUGCCUUUGGUCAAAAAAUACAGGAUUAUGAAGAUUUUAGUCAACUCGCACCAUUCUUUAUGAAAAAUCUGGCUGCUGGAGAAACCAUAAAAUUCACCAAAGGAACUGCAUGGAAAUCGAUGGAAGCGUUCUAACUGCCGUUACGAAUGGAAACAGGAUUCGGAGUGUUGGAAAGAGUGGAAGUCAGCUGUCAGGAAAAUACUGCUAUGUGACCGUGAGCCCUGGCAGAGUCCUGGAAGCCGAAGCCCUGAGAACCUUCAUUUCCCUAAUUUACAGUUGGUUCCAACUCUUUAGCUAUCCACUAAGCCAAGUCCACUCUCCAGCUGCACCAGUUGAACAAAUAGUCACACAGCAAUCGCGACUGUUCUGCGAGAAAGGACUGUUAUCACCUCCUGAUUGCAGGUAAGAAAACUGAGGCCCAGAGAGCUUAAAGAAUUGGUCCAGAGUCACGCAGCUCAGAUGUAGCCGACCAGGGCUCAGAGUCCUGCAGAUGUCCCUGUGCUCUUAAGCAUGUGCCUGAGAGCCUACUGUGUGCCACCUCCUGCCCACCUGCAGCUAUGAUCUGUGCAGAUGCCUCGGCCAGUAUCUGGGAACUUGGUUCCCCAAAAUGUCCUCAGUCAACAGGGAACUGAUAAGGGUGACUUCCCGGCCCCCAGACUAUGCAAACAAUGUGAUUUACGCUGAAGACACGCCUUCCUUCCAGGGAUGUGGAAUUUGGGUAGAUGCUAAGCAGGGAGCACCCAGGCGCUGUCUGGUGAGAACCUUGGACACUACAUCUCUAAGGGGCUCUCCUGCAGAGAAGUGUCCAGCUGCUGGGGGAGGAGUGGGCUUGGGGGACCUCGUGUAGGAGGGGUCGCCGCAGUCUCUGCCCCCUCUUCCUGGGGAUCAGCUCCUGCCAUCUUUCCUACGUCACCACCCUGCAGGCCACAGUUCUGAGCUACAGACCGAUGCUGCUCCACGGUGCCUUGGGCCCGCAGAGCAUUGGACUGGCUGCUGCCCUUCCUGGUGACUGUGGAGGGCCAGGGCAGGCUUGCAUUUCUCCUGCAGGUAAUAAGGAGUUUGCUGAGGGAUGUGACAUCUCCUGUCCACUGAAGCCAGCGAGGGUUGCAGGAAAGUGGGUCCUUUCCAGUGGCUGUCAUCCCGCUCCUGAACAAAAGGCUGAGAUGACCUGUGAAGUCUGCGUCCAGCCUGGUCCUUUUGUGCCAACAACUGGCCCCAGCUCUUCUCGUUUGUCCAGGUUAGACCUUUCUGCAUUUCUGCCCUUGGCAAAGCCUGUCGCUGCCCAGCCUUCAGGGCCCCAGAGCCUGUCCCCAGGCCUGGCAGGAAGUGCCCACGGAACAGGGUGGAUGCCUCUCUGCUGGCCCCACUUGAGUUGAGCUGAUGUUAGUCCAGGUCACCCACAGUGAGAGCCAGGAGAGGGAAUGAAUGUCAAGGCUUAAAAGCAGAAGCAACAUGGCUCCUUUGUGAUCUGGUGGCUCUCACCUGGAACAAAGAGGCCACUUGGGGGACUACAGCUGAGGCUGAAGCCCAGCUAAUGCCGAGAGAUCGCCAUUCAGACUCCACCUGUCAAUCACAGAUAGAGGACUGGAACCCGGUUCAGAGGGCCCAGGGCAGUGGAAAUGGUUCUGAGCCAUGAUGGCAAUCACGUGAGUUACCGUAAAGGCACCCUUCCUUCAAGACGUUGAACUUGGGGUAGACUGCUGUCAGGGGAUAGAGAAGAGCUCUUCCUAUUUAGACCUACCUGUCCCCCCCACCCCAAGUAUUUCAUUGUUCCCCAAGUAGCAAGGUUGUUUCCCCAAAUAAAACAUUUUAAAAAUGAAGUAGGUAAAAAUAAACAAUGGCCCCAUCGGUCGGCCAGGCCACGGAUGCUCUCAGAAGUGCAGGUUUGGCCUCAGCGGGGGAAACGAGGAGACCACAGUAAACCAUGCACAACAGACCUGCUGCCGGGGGCAGUGUCGCAUGUACCCAACGUCCUCUGAGUGCAGACUCAUGGAUAGAUUCUGCUUCCACCAUCAAGCCAAAUAAAAUGCUUUCUAAAAAGUAUUAGGCAAACCUUCCCCAGCUGAGACUCUCCGGAGCCACCAGCUCCCUGGCCGGUCAGCAGUGUCCCCACCAGGGCUGAUCCCACAGGUCUGGCUGCCCGGGUCCCUGCAGUCCCCAGGCUGCUUGCCUCUGCCUUAGCCUCUCCCUGAGCAGCCACCCUGGGUCCAGAGCUGACCUCCUCCCAGCGCCCUGUAGAUCCAGUGUUCCUGGCGUCCCCUUUGUCUCAGUCUGCCCCUGAGCUGUCCCCACAGUUCUGGGGGGAGCCCCUUUCUUCUGCUGCUUCCUCCAUCCAGAGCUUGACUCCAAGCCGUGGGGCCUCCGAGUGUCCUAGAGGGACCCUGCCUGUCUCCCCACUUCAGGGGUCAGCUCCUCCACUCCCUGUGUUCUCUCUGCAGCCCUGGCCUCCUCUGUCAUCUGCCACAUGUCACCCAGGACCAACCCGUAGGUCCCACCUGCCAGGCCCCUGCUGUCUCAGGGUUGCUUCGGCUGGGCCCACCCUGGUCCCUCCUGUUCUAUGGUGGGACGCUGAGCCCUGCAGGCUGGGUGGCUCCAGGGUCAGCUCGUCCAGCUGGGCUCAGCCAUGGGCCAGGGAGAGACGAGGGUUGGGCACGGUCUGGGGCACAGCUCUGGCCACCAGCCUUCCAUGGCUCUAGCCUCAUAGGAAACACCUGAGGAGGGUGGGCCUGUGAACGCCACCUUCUCCUUCAUGUCCUCUUUUGGGGGUGGCAGUGGCUUCCCACCUCCUGCCCUGUGUCUACCUUCCCAGCUCCUCUCUCUGCAGUGUGAUCGGUCUUGGCCUUCAGUCCUCUCUUUGGCGACAGAUGCCAUCCACCUCCAGAGCCGCCCACCCUGUCCUCUCUGUGACAGCCUCCUUGCUAGCCUCAACUUGCUGCCCUCCCACCUCCCAAACACAGGUGGCCGUAUGUCUGCUUUGACUAGGACAAUAUCACUUUGCACAUCGUCCCUGCUUGCUUAUUCAUGGAGACCUCGCCAUUCAUUCUCAAAACGAUCCCCGUCAGGAUGGUAAUGGCGUGGGCAACCUGCCCUUCACCUCAUUCUCACAUGGUGCCCAGAGGGAACUUGCAAACACACAAGCCAGAUGACAUCAUGCUCCUGCUUAAAACCCACCAAAACAUACCCAUCAGGAGGACUAGUAGCAUUUAAAAAAGAAAGAAAGAAAGAAAACAAGGCCAGGUAUGGUGGUUCACACCUAUAAUCCCAGCAGCUUGGGAGGCUGAGGCAGGAGGAUUGCAAGUUCAAAGCCAGCCUCAGCAACUUAGUGAGGUCAUGAGCAACUUAGCAAGACCCUGUCUCUAAAUAAAAUAACAGUAAAAAAGGGCUGCUGGGGAUGUGGCUCAGUGAUUGAGCACCCCUGGGCUCAAUCCCCGGUACAAGGAAGGAAGGAGUAAGUUCUGGUGAAGAUGUAGAGCAACUGGACUCCAUGCACGGCUGGUGGGGAUGGAAAAUGAUGUGAAACUACCACAGGAUCCAAAAGACAUGCUGACACACCCCAGAACCUUGAGGGUAUUGUGGCUCAAGGUUAUAAGUGAAACAAGCAGGCCCAGAAGGACAGACAGAAGGACAGGCACUGUGGGAUUCCUCUUGUGGGAGGUGCCUAGAGGAGCCAGCUCACGGGUGCAGGUCGAAUGGUGGGGCAUGAACAUAAAGUGUCCCCCAGUCCCGUGGGUUGAAGGCUCAUUCCCGGCGCUCUAGGGUGGCGCUGUGGGGAAGUAACGGGCCCUCAGGGGCUCUGACCUCCCCAGUGGGUUAAUAAUUUGAUGGCAUAGUGAUGGAAAUCUUAGGAGGUGAGUCCCCUGGGAGGAAGCAGGUGAUCCUGGAGGGAUGUCCCUUGUCCUCAGCCCCUUUGCACACUCUGCCUCCCAGAUGAGCAGCUGUCCCCCACCACACCCUUCCACCAUGAUGUGUCGCCUCAUCCAGAGCCAUGGACCCACAGAUCCAAACCCAAAUAAAUCUCUCCUCCUCAAGUUGUUUGUGUCAGGUGUUUUGGUCACGAUGACAAAAAGCUGGCCAACAGGGAUUCCAGGGGGUCAGGGAAGAGGGAGUGGGGAGCUGGACUUCAGUGGGGACAGACUUUCCCCCUUAGCCAGAUCUCCUGGAUGGCCGGGGCUGGAGGUCUCACAACAAUGUGACUGUGUUUAAUGUCACUGAACUGCACACUUAAAGUGGUUAAAAUGGCAAAUUUUAUGUUAUGUAUAUUUUGCCAUUUUUUUUUUUUAAAGACCUCCGAGGUCUUUUCAUCAAAUUUGAAAUGAAGUUCAUGGGGAAGACCAAGCCUAAAGGGCCUCUAUCCAUGGUCCUGCCCCUUGUCUCCCAGCAGGCUCCCACCCAGCCCCACUCACACUGACCUCCUCUCCUGGGCGGUCCCCCACUGCCGGCUUCCUGCCUCCUCCCAGGACCCUGGUUCCCCGAUUCCCAUGACUGUGCCUUGGCACUGCUCGGUCUGUAUGGAGAUGCUCCUCCACAGAGAGAAGGUUCCUGACCACGAUGCCCUGGGGGGGCUCUCAUUUAAAAUUGUUAAUGAACUUUGUGUAAUAAAUGGCAUGUGUUAAAGGACUUUGGUGGGGUAGGAGGGUCAAGGACAGCUGAGGUCCUGGGGAGGUGGGGAAUCUGGGAGUGACCUCCAUCAAGGUGGGCUGGAGGAGGGAAGAAUUGAGUGGCCAGAGGAAGCAGCCGGAAGGUCCGCAGAGUUCCACCUUGACUGUGGCUAUCAAAACCUCCCGACAACACAGUUUGAUUGACUGAUUCAUCUGACUCAUGAUCCAGUUUCUCCACAUAGACAAUCUUGACUACCUAAGAAAGAAAGAAUCUUAAGUCUUCUUGUCGAAAAUGUCCUCCCAAAGUGAAUGGAAGUCCCUUCGAAUUAAAUUGGGCAAAAAAAAAAAAAGAAUGAUUCACGAAUCAGGUAGCCCUCAGAACCAGCAAAGGCACAGAGAGCUCCAUUCCACAAGAGGGGCAGACAGCGUUAUGGACAGGAAACGGAGAUGAGGCUCAGGGUCAGCUGCUCGGGUUAGAGUUCCGCUUACCUCAUCGGAACGUGGCCUGAUUGUAACCCAGUAGUGCCUACCCAAGCCGGACCGGCCUACCCUCCGGUGAAGAGCUUUCCCAACAACAUAGGCUGGGCGUGUUGUGUCUUUCCACAAUGUCAGAAUGUAUCCCACAAUAAAGCUACAUCAAUUGCACUGA